AGAGUUUGAUCCUGGCUCAGGACGAACGCUGGCGGCGUGCCUAACACAUGCAAGUCGAGCGAGGAACUUCGGUUCCUAGCGGCGGACGGGUGAGUAACACGUGGGUAACCUGCCUCAAAGAGGGGGAUAGCCUCACGAAAGGGAGAUUAAUACCGCAUAACAUUAGUUUUUCGCAUGAAGAACUAAUUAAAGGAGCAAUCCGCUUUGAGAUGGACCCGCGGCGCAUUAGCUAGUUGGUGAGGUAAAGGCUCACCAAGGCGACGAUGCGUAGCCGACCUGAGAGGGUGAUCGGCCACAUUGGAACUGAGACACGGUCCAGACUCCUACGGGAGGCAGCAGUGGGGAAUAUUGCACAAUGGGCGAAAGCCUGAUGCAGCAACGCCGCGUGAGUGAUGAAGGCCUUCGGGUUGUAAAGCUCUGUCUUUUGGGACGAUAAUGACGGUACCAAAGGAGGAAGCCACGGCUAACUACGUGCCAGCAGCCGCGGCAAUACGUAGGUGGCGAGCGUUGUCCGGAUUUACUGGGCGUAAAGGAUGCGUAGGCGGAUAUUUAAGUGAGAUGUGAAAUACCCGGGCUUAACUUGGGUGCUGCAUUUCAAACUGGAUAUCUAGAGUGCGGGAGAGGAGAAUGGAAUUCCUAGUGUAGCGGUGAAAUGCGUAGAGAUUAGGAAGAACACCAGUGGCGAAGGCGAUUCUCUGGACCGUAACUGACGCUGAGGCAUGAAAGCGUGGGUAGCAAACAGGAUUAGAUACCCUGGUAGUCCACGCCGUAAACGAUGAGUACUAGGUGUAGGAGGGUCC
rnacentral:rRNA from 1 species